AGCGAACGCUGGCGGCAGGCUUAACACAUGCAAGUCGAGCGCCCCGCAAGGGGAGCGGCAGACGGGAGAGUAACACGUGGGAACGUACCUUUCAGUUCGGGACAACCAAGGGAAACUUUGGCUAAUACCGGAUACGCCCGUAAGGGGAAAGAUUCAUCGCUGAAAGAUCGGCCCGCGUCUGAUUAGCUAGUUGGUGGGGUAAUGGCCCACCAAGGCGACGAUCAGUAGCUGGUCUGAGAGGAUGAUCAGCCUCACUGGGACUGAGACACGGCCCAGACUCCUACGGGAGGCAGCAGUGGGGAAUAUUGGACAAUGGGCGCAAGCCUGAUCCAGCCAUGCCGCGUGGAUGAUGAAGGCCUUAGGGUUGUAAAGUCCUUUUAACGGGGAAGAUAAUGACGGUACCCGUAGAAUAAGCCCCGGCUAACUUCGUGCCAGCCGCCGCGGUAAGAC
rnacentral:rRNA from 1 species